CCUACGGGGCGCAGCAGUGGGGAAUAUUGCACAAUGGGGGAAACCCUGAUGCAGCGACGCCGCGUGAGGGAAGAAGGUUUUCGGAUUGUAAACCUCUGUCUUUGGUGACGAAAGAUGACGGUAGCCAAAGAGGAAGCUACGGCUAACUACGUGCCAGCAGCCGCGGUAAUACGUAGGUGGCAAGCGUUGUCCGGAAUUACUGGGUGUAAAGGGAGCGUAGGCGGGAAGACAAGUUGAAUGUUUAAACUAUCGGCUCAACCGAUAAUCGCGCUCAAAACUGUUUUUCUUGAGUGUAGUAGAGGCAG
rnacentral:rRNA from 1 species